rnacentral:rRNA from 1 species
GACGGAGGAUGCAAGUGUUAUCCGGAAUCACUGGGCGUAAAGCGUCUGUAGGUGGUUUAAAAAGUCCACUGUUAAAGAUUGAAGCUUAACUUCAAAAAUGCCGUGGAAACUUUUAAACUUGAGUAUGAUAGGGUAGAGGGAAUUUCCAGUGGAGCGGUGAAAUGCGUAGAUAUUGGAAAGACCACCAAUGGCGAAGGCACUCUACUGGGCCAUUACUGACACUGAGAGACGAAAGCUAGGGGAGCAAAUGGG